rnacentral:lncRNA from 1 species
CUGUGCAUUCAAGUGGGAAGCUAAACAAUGUCAAAGUGAAGAAAAUGAAUCACAUAACGUGCAGAAAAUCAAAUCCACCCAUAAGAACCUUUCUGUCAGGAGUGAGCUCCCUGAAUUUGGAGGGGACGACCAAAAGACACGCCGACACCAUGAAGCUGCAGGGAGGUUUCCUUCAGGAAGCUUCUCUAGGAUUGUAUCAUCCACAGAUAUAAUACAGAUCCAAGGGAUGAAACGCAUCUCCUACAAGGACAGGCUGAGUGAGCUGGAGCUGUACAGCCUGGAAAAGAGAAGGCUCUGGAGAGACCUUAUAGCAGGCCUUUGGUAUCUGAAGGAGGUCUGUAUGAAAGAAGGGG